rnacentral:lncRNA from 1 species
UCAGCUUCUGCAGAUUGCUACAUUGCCAUUAAAACUGGAUUUCUUUACAGCAGCAGCUACAAAUUCUCCCUUAUGAUUUCUGAUGGCAAUUCCCAGGCCAACAUAUUGAUCUUUCCAACUUGGCUGAGAAAAAAAGCUAACACACCUAAAUCAUUUUCUUUUUUUAAUAACACAAAUUCAUGUCAAAAUGGUAUUCAUGGAGUGACAGAACAAACUGAACAUGUGUAUCGGCAACAAAACAGCAAACAACAUUUUAAAAAAUUAAUUCACAUUUUAAAAAAUAAUUACCCAUCGAAUAUAAUUCACGGUAGCAGUUUGCCAACAUCCAAUUAAACUGGACAAUGUUCUUAUACUAACACCAACUUAAUCAAUCUCAUGCCAACAAAAUCAUAUUUACCAAAUAGAAAAUAAUUAUUAAAUAUAAGAAAGAAGGGGAAUGAUACAAAAAAUUACUAGCAAACACAAAGAUUCUCAACAUUCACCAUUUUCCCAAGCAAAUUAAAACCCAAUGGAUAGCAAAUUCGAUUGUAUGCAAGCCUUAAAAAAGAAAAAUAUCAGCAACUCACAUAACAAAGAUGGAGCCGAGAGGGCAAAAGCAGUCGAGGUAGUUGGAUGGAGCAGCAGUGGUUGCGGCGAGAUGGCGCACUAGCGGCGACGGAGAUGAAGCAGCAGCGACGUCGAUCGAGAUGAAGCAGCAACGGCACCGGAGAUGAAGUGCAUCAACCGAGAUGGGCACAUAGAGAGAGAGCAGAUCUGGAGAGAAAAGGACAGAAAGCUUGCUGUUGUGUGUAGAUCGGCGAAGAUAAGGAGAGGGAGAGAGAGAGUUUCGUUGUGAGCAGAUCAAGAAAGGAGGUAGAGAGAGCACCGUGAGUCAGCUUCGUUGUGAGUAGAUCAGGAAAUUCGUGAACGAAAUUUUUUGUUGGCUUUUGUUUUUUGAUUUGUUUUUGAGUUUGGCUUUGUAAUAAGUAGAGAACAUGUUAAACAUGUUUUUGCUUUGCUAGUUAUAAAAAGUAGAUUUGGAUUUCUUAUUUUGUAAUUUGUUUUUGAAUUCAGCCCACCAAACAUGUAUUACAUCAGUACUCCGAAAAUGAAAAUGAAAAUACUAACCCAAAAACGAUACCAAACGGGCCCUAAGGAUCGCUCGACAAAAUAUAUAUGGAUUCUUUAAUCUUUAUUCUUCAUUAUCUCUAUUCUCUACCAAACGAACGGUUCUGAUUUUACAAGAAAAAGCUUCCGUACAAGAGAUAUAUAUAUAUAUAUCCUACGGAAUAAAAACACUAUAAUAGACAUAGUGCAUGAUAGAAACCACAUCGACGGACUUGUCUUUAUGUACGCAUGUCGAAUAGCAGCUCGGUCCAAAAAGUUUGCAGGCUUAAGCCCAUUCCUAUUUCUAUCAAUGACACGUGUCGUUAUUUCAACAGAAACUCGUGUAAAUAACAUGCCACAGCAGGUCAAUUCAAACAAAAGGCUUCUGUUCAGCAUCAUAAUUUGCAUUUAUUAAAUAAAUUUAUAGUACCUCCCACCCCUCCUACUCGCUGAAAAGGAAGCCCACAGACGCUUCCAUAUCCAAAACUAAAAAGAAAUUUAAAAAAUCUAAAAUAAUAAUUAAAAUUUUUUUAAAACCCUCUUAUUAUUGGAUCUAUUUCUCUCUUUAGGGUUUUGCUUCUCCUUCGUCCUCGCUCCAAGUAAGUCCCAAUCCAAUUUCACCUUAUUUCUUUCCUUUCUUCAUAUGUUUUUCUUUUUUUUCUUAUAUUCUUAUUCAUUUCCUCUAUUAAUUUCCGUUCCUUUAUUUUUUUUUUCGCUUUGCAUCACUUUUCUAUUUUCAAUCAUUUUUACACUUCAUUUUCAAGUGCUUGUACGUGUUUUUGCUUGAUGCAAUCUAGUAAAUAUAUUAAUUAUCAGAAAUCGUGAUAAACCAGUUCGUCGAAUUUCAGAUUUUUUUAGAUAUUAGAUUUAAGCUGUCACCUGUCAGUCCUUUGUUUGUUUGCUUAGUAGAAAAUGAAAGAAAGGAAUUUAGAAGAAAAUAAGAUAGUGUUUAUGUAAUAAUUUUCAUUUUAUCUUUUUUUUUGGGAUAAGCAUUUAAGGAAAUCGAAGAUUUAAAUUACCAGUAAUUUUUAUUUUCAUUUCUGGUUGUUUUUUGUUUAAUAAAUUUACAAGAAGUCAAAUUGAUUUUUUUGCUAAUAUAGUUAUUCAUAAAUUCUCGGUAAAAUGCUUGUAGGAUUCUUAUUUUUAAUUUAAGCUUAGUGGAUUCUUUUUAUUUAUACUUUGAACUAUUGUAAUUUAGUGCUGUAUUGGAGAACAAUAUAUGUGCUUCUACAUGCCCCACUCGUUCUGUGCAAGAGAAGCCACCUUUAACAUUAAAAGUGAGAUUCUUAAUUAAAGUUGAGCAUAUUUUUUAAUUGCAUGAAUUUAUAUCAUAAUAUUAUCCUGUUGAAGUUGGCUGCCUUUUUGUGAUAUGAAAGCUUGUUUUGCAUUAAAGUGAUUUUAAGGUUUUAAAUACUUGAAGGGAUAAUGUAAUUUGAGAAGAUGAUGAAUGAGGAUGCAGGUAAAAUGGCACUGUAACGGUGUGUUUAGUAUUUUGCCACCAUGAUAUUCUUUUCUUCUAUUUUGUUUUGGAGUUUUGAGGGAUUGGAUCAAAUUCAAUAGUUUGUUUGGUCAACUAGUUGAUUAGGUCUUCGUGAUGUUUGCUUAUUGUGCACAAUUGCAAAGAUUGUACCCUGUUAUAUGAUUUUACUUGUCACCUGAGAGAUUUCAGUGGAAGUUUAAUAAGAAAGAAAAUUGCAUUUUGUAGAAAAGGAUAUUUAUAAAUCCCUUUCACUGUAGAUGGUUAAGGUUGAUGUGUGUUUCUUUGAAGUGUAGAUUGGUACCAUUGCUUGCUGCUAUGAUAUUUGCUUAAAUGUACUUGCUGGUUUUCUAGUUUUUGGUUUCAUUAUUGUUGGACAAAUGCAAAAGCUUCCUGGUUUUCAGUGCAAAAAUUCCUCUGUUUGACCUGAAUCGUGAUUGCCCUUUCAAAAUGAAGGCUUUAAUCGUUUACAUUUUACUUUUGGAUACAAUCUUAAGCACUAAUUUACAAAAAUUGAGUAGUUUGAGCUACUUAACGGGUUUUACUUUUAGAUCUGUUCUGGUUUCUCUUACUCAUCAUUUCUAGAAUUUAUCAUAAUGGUCACUUUAAUUGGGCAUGGGCUACAGAUGAAUUCCAAGCCUUGGAUGCUUAUAAAGUGUCAACAACUUCAAUGGCUAUUCCCUCCAACCCUCAAGUGGUGGCUUUAAUGGGCUGUAUGUUGUGCUUAUGUUACUGUUUGUAGGCUGUGGUGGCAACCUACUCUGGAG